GACGAACGCUGGCGGCGUGCUUAACACAUGCAAGUCGAACGGAAAGGCCCUGCGUUUGUGGUGUGCUCGAGUGGCGAACGGGUGAGUAACACGUGGGUAACCUGCCCUUGACUUUGGGAUAACUUCAGGAAACUGGGGCUUAUACCGGAUAGUUGCUCCUGCUUCAUGGUGGGGGUUGGAAAGUUUCGGCGGUUGGGGAUGGACUCGCGGCUUAUCAGCUUGUUGGUGGGGUAGGGGCUUACCAAGGCUUUGACGGGUAGCCGGCCUGAGAGGGUGACCGGCCAGAUUGGGACGGAGGUACGGCACAGACUAAUACGGGAGGCAGCGGUGGGGAGUGGUGCACAAUGGGAGGGAGGAUGAUGUGGCAACGCGGGGUGCGGGAUGAGGGGAUGCGGGUUGUAAAGUGAUUUCGCAUGUGCAGAAGCGUGAGUGACGGUACUGGGGAAAGAAGCACCGGCUAACUACGUG
rnacentral:rRNA from 1 species